CCUACGGGUGGCAGCAGUGGGGAAUAUUGCACAAUGGGGGAAACCCUGAUGCAGCGACGCCGCGUGAAGGAUGAAGUAUUUCGGUAUGUAAACUUCUAUCAGCAGGGAAGAAAAUGACGGUACCUGACUAAGAAGCCCCGGCUAACUACGUGCCAGCAUCCGCGGUAAUACGUAGGGGGCAAGCGUUAUCCGGAUUUACUGGGUGUAAAGGGAGCGUAGACGGUAUGGCAAGUCUGAUGUGAAAACCCGGGGCUCAACCCCGGGAAUGCAUUGGAAACUGCCGAACUAGAGUUUCGGAGAGGCAAGGGGAAUUCGUAGUGUAGCGGUGAAAUGCGUAGAUAUUAGGAGGAACACCAGUGGCGAAGGCGGCUUGCUAGAC
rnacentral:rRNA from 1 species